AGUUGGACCCAAUUUUGUUUGGUAAUGACUAUAACCUAAUCUCAUUAGCUUUUUUAUUAUCUCUUUGCUAUACACGUCCUUAAUUACACAGUUGGAGAUUGCAAAAUCAAUUGAUAGAUACGUUAAAUAGUUUGGGUGAUUACAUCUAUUUCAUUAUAAAUUAGAGAGUCAUUUAGUAGUAAAUAAAACACUGGUGAUAACUUUUUAGACCAUGACAACUAAUUUGAACAUGAUGAUGAACAACAAGACUUAAGGUCAAUACAAUAUCUGUCGGCUCUUGAAUUUAAACCCAAGCGGGGGGUAAAGAUAUUUGAUUAACUGGAUGAUCACUUACUUGAUUCAUCGGUUAAAAUUGCUUGUUGGCUCAUAGACUGAAUCUUUAUCAUUGUCUGCUUAUUGUAAUUCUGGUUAUGGAGGCUUGUUAAACUGGAAGUGGAAUUCUUUGUUUUAAGCUAGCCUUCCUAUACAAUGUACUUUUAAGCACCGAAGAAAACACUAGCUUGGUUUUUGGGUCUCUGAUAGUAAUUUGCGUGUUGUAGACACUGAAAAGUAUCCAAGUUUGUGCCUGAUAAAAUAUCACUCUGGGAAAUUCUUUACCAUACAAGAAAAAUCCCAUCACUUUGGUAUUCUUUAAAGAUUUUAAUUAGUCAUUCAACAUCUAAGAUCUUUCAUUUUUGUCCAUGUUUGGUGUUCUAUACAUUUCUCAUGAGAGGCAUUUUUAUUCCUCUCCUCUGCUUGGUUGUAAAUAAUUGCAGUAAUCCUGACGUGAUGGAUGUUCUUAGUUUGUGGUAUUGAUUGAGUCCAAAAUAAUAACUUUAUUUCAUUUUUUAUACUUUGUUAAGAAAAAUUUCUGUGGCCUGGAAUUGGCA
rnacentral:misc_RNA from 1 species